rnacentral:tRNA from 5 species
GGAGGAUUCGCCUAGUGGCCUAGGGCGCACGCUUGGAAAGCGUGUUGGGGGCAACCCCUCACGAGUUCGAAUCUCGUAUCCUCCGCCG